GAUGAACGCUAGCUACAGGCUUAACACAUGCAAGUCGAGGGGUAACAAGAGGAAAGCUUGCUUUCCUUGUUGACGACCGGCGCACGGGUGAGUAACGCGUAUCCAACCUGCCUAUAACUAGGGAAUAACCUUGCGAAAGUAAGACUAAUACCCUAUGAUUUCCUUUGAUGACAUCAGAUUAGGAAUAAAGAUUUAUCGGUUAUAGAUGGGGAUGCGUCUGAUUAGCUUGUUGGCGGGGUAACGGCCCACCAAGGCAACGAUCAGUAGGGGUUCUGAGAGGAAGGUCCCCCAGAUUGGAACUGGGACACGGUCCAAACUCCUACGGGAGGCAGCAGUGAGGAAUAUUGGUCAAUGGGCGGAAGCUUGAACCAGCCAAGUAGCGUGCAGGAUGACGGCCCUAUGGGUUGUAAACUGCUUUUAUACAGGAAUAAAGUUAGCCACGUGUGGUUAUUUGUAGGUACUGUAUGAAUAAGGACCGGCUAAUUCCGUGCCAGCAGCCGCCGUAA
rnacentral:rRNA from 1 species